AGGAGAGAAAAAAAAGAUGAAAAUGAAGAUAUGGUCCAUUCGAUUAAAGUGUAAUCCAAUGGACAGGAAUGAAUAUUUGUCAAUCCUUGUGUGAAAGUAGUAGCCAAUGAGAUUUUUUACAAAUUUGUUUUUAUUUUUUUGUUGUCAUAACGUAUGACAAGAGAGCGCAUAGAUAGAUAAAAGGAAGGCGA